rnacentral:rRNA from 1 species
CAGUGUACCCGCGGCAAGACGGAAAGACCCCGUGAACCUUUACUAUAGCUUGACACUGAACAUUGAGCCUUGAUGUGUAGGAUAGGUGGGAGGCUUUGAAGCGUGGACGCCAGUCUGCGUGGAGCCGACCUUGAAAUACCACCCUUUAAUGUUUGAUGUUCUAACGUGGAUCCGUAAUCCGGGUUGCGGACAGUGUCUGGUGGGUAGUUUGACUGGGGCGGUCUCCUCCUAAAGAGUAACGGAGGAGCACGAAGGUUGGCUAAUCCUGGUCGGACAUCAGGAGGUUAGUGCAAUGGCAUAAGCCAGCUUGACUGCGAGCGUGACGGCGCGAGCAGGUGCGAAAGCAGGUCAUAGUGAUCCGGUGGUUCUGAAUGGAAGGGCCAUCGCUCAACGGAUAAAAGGUACUCCGGGGAUAACAGGCUGAUACCGCCCAAGAGUUCAUAUCGACGGCGGUGUUUGGCACCUCGAUGUCGGCUCAUCACAUCCUGGGGCUGAAGUAGGUCCCAAGGGUAUGGCUGUUCGCCAUUUAAAGUGGUACGCGAGCUGGGUUUAGAACGUCGUGAGACAGUUCGGUCCCUAUCUGCCGUGGGCGCUGGAGAACUGAGGGGGGCUGCUCCUAGUACGAGAGGACCGGAGUGGACGCAUCACUGGUGUUCGGGUUGUCAUGCCAAUGGCACUGCCCGGUAGCUAAAUGCGGAAGAGAUAAGUGCUGAAAGCAUCUAAGCACGAAACUUGCCCCGAGAUGAGUUCUCCCUGAGACUUAGAGUCUCCUGAAGGAACGUUGAAGACGACGACGUUGAUAGGCCGGGUGUGUAAGCGCAGCGAUGCGUUGAGCUAACCGGUACUAAUGAACCGUGAGGCUUAACCUU